rnacentral:rRNA from 1 species
AAAUUGAAGAGUUUGAUCAUGGCUCAGAUUGAACGCUGGCGGCAGGCCUAACACAUGCAAGUCGAGCGGAAACGAGUUAUCUGAACCUUUGGGGAACGAUACGGCGUCGAGCGGCGGACGGGUGAGUAAUGCCUAGGAAAUUGCCUUGAUGUGGGGGAUAACCAUUGGAAACGAUGGCUAAUACCGCAUAAUGCCUACGGGCCAAAGAGGGG